UCGUCCUGGAGUUUCUCCACGGUGGCGAUGUCGGGUCUCGUUAAUUUCCUGGAUGAAACGGAGGUGAAGGAGUACCUGGACAAUCUAGGCGUCGAAUAUAGUUACCAGUGUCGCAAGGAGAAGGACCCGGAAGGAUGUCAACGACUUGCUGAUUACUUGGAAGGAAUUAAGAAGAAUUAUGAGGCAGCUGCUAAGAUAUUGCAGCAUAAUUGCGAGGAAAACAAUCAUGGAGAAAGCUGCUACAAGCUUGGUUCUUACUAUGUGACUGGAAAAGGUGGAUUACAACAAAAUCUGAAGGCUGCAUAUGAAUGCUUUGUUAAAUCAUGUGAAAAAGGUGAUGUUGCCGGACUUGCUGAGUUCCUCCAGCAAUUUGUGUGUGUUACUCUGGAAACGAAUAUACCAUCUGUAGAAUGUGAUUUAAAUCCUCGCGCCAUGGUUCUUUAGGAGACCUGGACCUGGAGUUACACACUGACUUCGGUUCUUUGCGGGAAUGGGAUCUAUUCUUGGGGUUUCAGGUCUGGCUGAAGUUCGGCACAUUAAGGGGUCGGCCUGAGAGGUGGCCUAUUGUUUGGAAGCCUAAGAUCUUGGGGCCCUGAAGGCGGGUGGAUUGAGGGUCGGUGUCACGACAGGAGACCCGUGUGUCAUCGGGGAGGCCUUUCGGUGUAGGCCUGAAGGCCCAAGAUCUUUGCAAUCUUUGGGCACAGAGCUCGUAAAAAGCGACGAAACAGAGCUUUUAACAUUGUGAAUAGAAUGCAACUUUGACAGAGUCCAGAACGUUAGGAAUUUGGUCAGCAUGGAAAUAUGCUAAUAAGGUGGAAGUUUUAUGUCUCAAGUACACGUGGUCAUUCUUGUAACCUUCAAACAUUAAGGUUAAUUUUGUUUUGAGUUGAAGCAUACAGUGGAAAAGCAUUCAUCUCCAUCCUCUCUAUAUUUGCCCUUGGAACAGCAAUAUCUGUGUGUCUUAAGUUUUUGUUAAUAUUGAAAUUCCAUUUGAAUUGUUGGGAUCAUGCCGUGUGUGCUAGCUGUUCCAGAAGCAAAGUUUCUCCAGCCCCUCAGCAUAGGACAUCCGUACAUUUCUGUUCCAUCCCUGGAUUGAGUGGCAAGUUGAACAGCAGAGUGAGAUUUCCGUGUGACAGUGCACAGGGUUAAGCUGACCUGUGUGGAUCACCAUGGAAACGGACUUCCAAUCA